AGUAUCAAACGAUUCAAAACUGUCCCCAAGCACUAAAAAAUCAGAAGACUCGGUUUCACAAACUUAGUCGCUCGGAGCGUUGAACUCAUUCCUCUUUUGAAUUUCUUCACCAGGAACAUUAUGUUUCUGGCAUGGACCCCAGGGCUAAAGACACGUUAAUGUGGAUUUUCUUCACUUUCCACAGAGAGGAAGUAUUUGGACUAAUGGCACCACUAUUGCAGUUCAAAACGGAGGAAGCUGCCUUCAUUAUUUCUAAUAAAAUCAAUGCAGCCAUCGAGUACAGAUUUGGUGGUGUCAAUGAAGGACUUGUUUCAACAGGGGUGGGAUAGAUCAUGCCCAGUUUUUGGAAUCAGCACAGGAACACAAGUCUGGCGAGUUAAAAUGUUCUAUUAUCGUACAUGUGGCUUUAACUGGAAGAGUAAAACAUUAUGGUCUAGGACGAGAAGGCUCCAUGCGUGGAGAAUAUGUAUGCUUAAUUAGGAGAGAGAUAUAAACAGAAAGAGAGAUGCAAGGUUAUUAUUACAAGCUUACGAGAAUCUGGGACUAUAAGGUCGAUGUUACUGAGAUGUAUAGUUAGUCCGCAGCUUAAUAUUUUGGUUUCCGUCUGAAGAAAAGAAGAUGAGCAGCAGAAUGGCCUUUGUGGCCUGUGUAUUUAAUGGGCUAAAUGAAUAUCAUCAGUUAUCUUUAUAUUUUCA